GACGGAAGGUGCAAGCGUUGCUCGGAAUCACUGGGCGUAAAGGGUGCGUAGGCGGCUUGGUAAGUUGGGUGUGAAAGCCCCGGGCUCAGCCCGGGAAGGGCACUCGAAACUGCCGAGCUGGAGUGCCGGAGGGGGAGAGUGGAAUUCCUGGUGUAGCGGUGAAAUGCGUAGAUAUCAGGAGGAAUACCGGUGGCGAAAGCGACUCUCUGGACGGCAACUGACGGCUGAGGCACGAAAGCGUGGGGAGCAAACAGG
rnacentral:rRNA from 1 species